rnacentral:rRNA from 1 species
ACUCCUACGGGAGGSAGCAGUGGGGAAUAUUGGACAAUGGGCGCAAGCCUGAUCCAGCAAUGCCGCGUGAGUGAUGAAGGCCUUAGGGUUGUAAAGCUCUUUUACCCGGGAAGAUAAUGACUGUACCGGGAGAAUAAGCCCCGGCUAACUCCGUGCCAGCAGCCGCGGUAAUACGGAGGGGGCUAGCGUUGUUCGGAAUUACUGGGCGUAAAGCGCACGUAGGCGGCUUGGUAAGUUAGAGGUGAAAGCCUGGAGCUCAACUCCAGAAUUGCCUUUAAGACUGCCGAGCUAGCAGGUGAGAGAGGUGAGUGGAAUUCCGAGUGUAGAGGUGAAAUUCGUAGAUAUUCGGAAGAACACCAGUGGCGAAGGCGGCUCACUGGCUCAUACUGGACGCUGGGGUGCGAAAGCGUGGGGAGCAAACAGGAUUAGAUACCCUGGUAGUCCACGCCGUAAACGAUGAAGACUAGCUGUCCGGGUACAUGGUACUUGAGUGGCGCAGCUAACGCAUUAAGUCUUCCGCCUGGGGAGUACGGCCGCAAGGUUAAAACUCAAAUGAAUUGACGG